GCAAACAUUCUAACUUCUGGAUUCUCACCCUAUAACAGGUCAGCCUUGCAGAAGAUCCACCAAAAACACUGACUGGGAAAAUAAAAAGAAUAAACAGGGCGCUCUUUCCUGGCAUGGCGGCGUACCUUUCCAAAGAGAGAGAGGAUGGCGUUUGAGGUAUAUUGCCACACAACACCCUUAUUAACAGGGUGUUGUUUGCUACAAUUUACAUCAAUGAGGAGCGGAUCCCUCUGAGGCAAGAAGGUGGCGGCACUGAAUCCCUUGCAGCUGGAGUGUGGGUGAUCAUGGGUCAUCAUGACGGCGCUGGGAACCCAAUCCAGGUCUUUUGCAAGAGCCACAAGUGUUCCUAACCAC